rnacentral:rRNA from 1 species
UACGUAGGGACCAAGCGUUGUCCGGAAUCAUUGGGCGUAAAGAGCGUGUAGGCGGCUUGUUAAGUCUUGCGUGAAAUCUCGGGGCUCAACCCCGAGCGGUCGUGAGAAACUGGCAGGCUAGAGUGCGGGAGAGGAGAGUGGAAUUCCUGGUGUAGCGGUGAAAUGCGCAGAGAUCAGGAGGAACACCCGUGGCGAAGGCGGCCUUCUGGGUCCGCCCUGACGCUGAGGCGCGAAAGCGUGGGGAGCGAACGAGG